rnacentral:rRNA from 1 species
UAGGGAAUAUUGGACAAUGGGUGCAAGCCUGAUCCAGCCAUGCCGCGUGCAGGAAGAAGGCUUUCUGAGUUGUAAACUGCUUUUGCCAGGGGAUAAAAUACGGAUGCGUCCGGAAUUGAAGGUACCUGGUGAAUAAGCCACGGCUAACUACGUGCCAGCAGCCGCGGUAAUACGUAGGUGGCAAGCGUUGUCCGGAUUUAUUGGGUUUAAAGGGUGCGUAGGCGGUCUUUUAAGUCAGUGGUGAAAUACGGCAGCUCAACUGUCGAGGUGCCAUUGAUACUGGAAGACUUGAGUACUGAUGAGGUAGGCGGAAUGGACGGUGUAGCGGUGAAAUGCUUAGAUAUCGUCCAGAACACCGAUAGCGAAGGCAGCUUACUAAGGAGUAACUGACGCUGAGGCACGAAAGUGUGGGGAUCAAACAG